rnacentral:rRNA from 1 species
GGUUACUGCUAUCGGUGUUCGCCUAAGCCAUGCGAGUCAUAUGUUCGUAAGAACAUGGCGUACUGCUCAGUAACACGUGGAUAACCUGCCCUUGGGUCCGGCAUAACCCCGGGAAACUGGGGAUAAUUCCGGAUAACGCACAUAUGCUGGAAUGCUUUAUGCGUAAAAUGGAUUCGUCUGCCCAAGGAUGGGUCUGCGGCCUAUCAGGUAGUAGUGGGUGUAAUGUACCUACUAGCCUACGACGGGUACGGGUUGUGAGAGCAAGAGCCCGGAGAUGGAUUCUGAGACAUGAAUCCAGGCCCUACGGGGCGCAGCAGGCGCGAAAACUUUACAAUGCGGGAAACCGUGAUAAGGGGACACCGAGUGCCAGCAUCCUAUGCUGGCUGUCCGGGUGUGUAAAAUACACCUGUUAGCAAGGGCCGGGCAAGACCGGUGCCAGCCGCCGCGGUAACACCGGCGGCCCGAGUGGUGAUCGUGAUUAUUGGGUCUAAAGGGUCCGUAGCCGGUUUGGUCAGUCCUCCGGGAAAUCUGACAGCUCAACUGUUAGGCUAUCGGAGGAUACUGCCAGACUUGGAACCGGGAGAGGUAAGAGGUACUACAGGGGUAGGAGUGAAAUCUUGUAAUCCCUGUGGGACCACCUGUGGCGAAGGCGUCUUACCAGAACGGGUUCGACGGUGAGGGACGAAAGCUGGGGGCACGAACCGGAUUAGAUACCCGGGUAGUCCCAGCCGUAAACGAUGCUCGCUAGGUGUCAGGCAGUCGUGAAUUGUCUGGUGCCGUAGGGAAGCCGUGAAGCGAGCCACUUGGGAAGUACGACCGCAAGGUUGAAACUUAA